AUUGAACGCUGGCGGCAUGCCUUACACAUGCAAGUCGAACGGUAACGCGGGGGCAACCCUGGCGACGAGUGGCGAACGGGUGAGUAAUACAUCGGAACGUACCCAGUAGUGGGGGAUAGCUCGGCGAAAGCCGGAUUAAUACCGCAUACGACCUAUGGGUGAAAGCGGGGGAUCGCAAGACCUCGCGCUAUUGGAGCGGCCGAUGUCGGAUUAGCUAGUUGGUGAGGUAAAGGCNCACCAAGGCUACGAUCCGUAGCUGGUCUGAGAGGACGACCAGCCACACUGGGACUGAGACACGGCCCAGACUCCUACGGGAGGCAGCAGUGGGGAAUUUUGGACAAUGGGCGCAAGCCUGAUCCAGCCAUGCCGCGUGUGUGAAGAAGGCCUGGUGUAAG
rnacentral:rRNA from 1 species